AUGCAAGGGCAGAUGGGUUUCCGUGAUCUCAGGCUUUUUAAUCGAGCUCUUUUGGCCAAACAGGCAUGCCGGUUGUUGGUUUACCCGGAUUCGCUAUGUGCGAAGUUGAUGAAGGCAAAGUAUUACACUCAGGGACAUAUUCUUGAUACAGAGUUUCCGCAUGCUAGUUCUGUGACUUGGCAAGUGCAAUUAGGUUUCCGGCAAAGGGAGCAAAUUCUGUUUCUUUUCUGGCGAGCAUGGCAUUUGAGAAAUGAUUUAAUUUUUGGGAAGGGGAAAGAAUCCGUUAAUUCCUCUGCGCAUUUUGUGGACAAUUUUUGGACCACUUUCACGUCUAGUCAUGACACCGCUCAAUUGGACGCUAGCAACAAAGGUAAGGAGAAGGUGAGCGGAGUUGUAGCGGAUUACACACCGUUAAAAGAUCAUGUGGUGUGGACUCCUCCCCCUAAUGAUCAUAUCAAGAUCAAUGUUGACGCCAUUUUUGUGGAGAGUACUAAUGCAGCCAGUGUGGGGGCCGUAGCUCGUAAUUUAUCUAAAGAUAUUAUUGUUUCUUCAUGGGACUUUAUUGACCGGUGUACCAGUGUGAAUGAAUCUGAGCUCCGCGCCUGCCUCGCGGGACUUUUUAUAGGUAUCACCCUUCACCAAUCUAUUAUUUUAGAGACUGACUGUGCUUUCGUACAUUCGUUUCUUUCAAAUGAGAAGCUUGACAGGUCCCCUCUGGCUGAUCUGAUGGAUGAGGCUCUGAGUAUAUCUAGGAUGAUCCAUAAUUUUAAUAUUGCAAAGAUAAGUUGGACUACCAAUGGGGUGGCACAUGAGAUUGCUAAGUUUAGCUUUAGUACUAGCAGAAUGCCCAGGUCAUCUUGCAUGUCACGUCAUCCAGAAUGUCCAUGUCACAAGUCAUUCAGUUCAUUCACCUUAACUAUCAUGAGCAUAACCUUUGGCAGCCUCGCGCAUGCAACAGAUAAUUAG
rnacentral:rRNA from 1 species